rnacentral:rRNA from 1 species
CGCUGAACUUAAGCAUAUCAAUAAGCGGAGGAAAAGAAACUAACAAGGAUUCCCCUAGUAACUGCGAGUGAAGAGGGAAAAGCUCAAAUUUGUAAUCUGGCGGCCUUUGGCCGUCCGAGUUGUAAUCUAGAGAAGUGCUACCUGCGCUGGACCGUGUACAAGUCUCCUGGAAUGGAGCAUCAUAGAGGGUGAGAAUCCCGUCUUUGACAUGGACUGCCAGAGCUUAUAGGUGCGCUCUCAAAGAGUCGAGUUGUUUGGGAAUGCAGCUCAAAAUGGGUGGUAAAUGCCAUCUAAAGCUAAAUAUUGGCGAGAGACCGAUAGCGAACAAGUACCGUGAGGGAAAGAUGAAAAGAACUUUGGAAAGAGAGUUAAACAGUACGUGAAAUUGCUGAAAGGGAAACGCUUGAAGUCAGUCGCGUCAGUUGGAAWUCAACCUUGCUUUUGCUGGGUGUACUUUCUGUCUGAUGGGUCAGCAUCAAUUUCGAUCGCUGGAUAAAGUUCUUGGGAAUGUGGCAUCCUUGGAUGUGUUAUAGCCCUUGGACACAUKCAGUGGUUGGGAUUGAGGAACUCAGCACGCCGCAAGGCUGGGGCUUUUGUCCACAAUACGUGC